UUUGAGAUAUGCACGACGAAGUCCGAUAAGUUUACUGUCAAGUUGAAAUGCCCGAUGGGAGAACAGCUUCACGCGAGGCCGAUAACUGAAAAUGACUUUCUUACUUUGCAAAAGAAGUUGUCGGGUAUGAAUGAAAGCUCUCUGACUGUGGAUAUCCCGCAGGAGAACUGCGAGGAACGCGUGCUCGCGUCGAAAAUCCUGGGUUGUGCGAGUGUAGCGGCAUUACCCAGAAAUAGCAGCUUAAAUUAUUAUAGGUUUUCUGGGUCGGCUACUUCAUCCGGGGUCCCCGUAUUGAUAACUGUCGAACUUAAGGAGUAUGGAAAGAGAGUAGGAUUACGGUGAAUUGCGAAAAAAUGACAAUCAAUUCAAUUUUGGCGAAAGAACUGGUCGCCGCUGUGGGAAAAGUAUGAUACGUAAGUUCCCCAGAUGUAAGCUGAAGGAGGGAAAAAAUUCAAUUAUCCUUGUUGGGUAAUACAAUCCACGUGUGUGGGUUGUGAAGGGGGUAUAAAACGCACGUGCUUCGCACAUGGCCUAAGUAUUCUUAUGAUUUUGUAACUUGCCCAAAAACUUGUAAGCUCGCUCAGACUAUUUUGCAUUAGAAAUCUGCUGUUUCGAAAUUUCUUCGAAAUGGCCAAAUAAUAUAAUGAAUGCUAGGAAAGGUGGUAACAGUUCCGAACCUGGAAAGGUCGAAAUUUAUAUUACUGUUAGUAUUUUUCCAAUCAAAAUAAUUUACAAUGAGUCACGUUGGCAUUAUUUUUAUGUUUAGAAAUUUCUAACCAACAACGUCGUUUUCGAAGUAUUUUCAAUUGUAGAUUGGCAUAAUGUGUUGAUCUACCCUAGAUUCGCCACUGAAUGAUAACUCUGUAUAAUCAUUAGCUGCUUUAUCAAACCAAGAAUGAUUUAAUAUGUAUAUAAAAAAUCAUGAAGGACUCUACUUUUUAGUGAAAUAUCAAUUCCUUGUUUAAUUUAUUUGAAAC